CCCCAAGAAGCUGACCAGGAAGCAGCCAUGGUUCCUAUCUUAAAUGAGAUCAUACGUAACGACCUCUCCAGCACGAUCCCCCACUCCUAAUUCAGCACAUCGGAGCUGGCAGAAGCUGUGAGGAGUUGGCUCAGUGCAGACAACCGCGCUUCAGCAAGCGAGACUUUGAUGAGAUAAACUGGACCCACAUCUGGUACCACUCAGAAAUCCCAACUUACCGAACGAACGGAACGCUAGGAGCUUAUGUCUGAAGAAGUAGCUCUCCAACAGGGACGGAGGAGCAGGAGAGGGCCCACUGCAUCUCCUGAAAGAAACACCAUCUCAAGGAACGAGAAGGGCUGGUCAGUGAGGCCAGGGGCAGACGCUGGUCCACCGUGUGGCAGACUGUCCCCAAGCCUGACCCUCCUGCCCACUGGAUCAAAACACUGGAAGUGCCUUAUUUAGUCUGACCACACCAGGGCAUAUGGAAGUGAGCACUGAAUUUUCUACCAUGAGAGUAUUUGUGGGAGCCAAAGCUAUUAAAGAACACUUCCUUAGGAGGUUUUAUCUUUUGUAUUAAUUGAUAGGAUUCUGAAGAGCCUCCUGCGUAUCUCUAGCUUUUCUGGCUGCCCUACACAAUUUGCCUGCCUUAUCCAGUGCAUUUUAGAGGUCUUCCAGCCUGUCUUCUUGGCUCUCUCAUAGUCAGCCCCCUCCUCUGUGUGACUGAAACCACAGGUCUGUUAAUAAUAGCAUGCUAGGAUUCUUGUUCUCAAUCCAGCUUCGAACAUAGUGAAGGAAGUCGAACAGCACAAGGCAGGGUCCUGGACAGAACAAAACCUGCCUGCUACAGGACAGAGCUUGUGUUUGCAUGCAUGUACAUAUAGGCAUAUAUUUAUGUAUAGAUAUCCAAGGACAGAGGUGGCAAUGAGCAGUCUGUGCCCACCAGGGGCCUUCCUUCCAUGUUAGCAAUAACCAGUAUCCACCUUGAGAGUGCACCUCAGAGUCCAGAACCGGCUUCCCACCAUCAUGGUCUUUCCUUCCAUCAGGGUCUACCUCUGGACAGGCAGGUGGCCUUUUCUUGCCUCACGCAGUGACUGAGCACUCCAGAGCUGUGCUCAAAUGCCCAUCAGCUACCAAAUGGCAAAAUCUGAAAGUGGUUGUAAAUAACCAUUACAGAAUGAGUGUAGUAUAUUUGUUCAAUUAUAAGAUUAUUCUUUCACAGAAGCCUUAUAGCUCUCUGCUUCAUCUAAGAAAACAAUUACCAAAAAAAACAACGUUUCUAACUGCAAUCUGUGAACUGUGCGUUUUCAGAUUGGUUACUGGUAACAGAUAAGCUGGUGUCUGCUCUGUGUAAUUAGCUGCUUACUUCAGUUACUAGCAGUGACCUAUUAUUUCUUAUAACCAAAAAAAGCAUGGUUUAAUUAAAACAUGUUUAAUG
rnacentral:lncRNA from 1 species